UACGAAGGGUGCAAGCGUUAAUCGGAAUUACUGGGCGUAAAGCGUGCGUAGGCGGUUUGUUAAGUCUGCUGUGAAAUCCCCGGGCUCAACCUGGGAAUGGCAGUGGAUACUGGCAAGCUAGAGUGUGUCAGAGGAUGGUGGAAUUCCCGGUGUAGCGGUGAAAUGCGUAGAGAUCGGGAGGAACAUCAGUGGCGAAGGCGGCCAUCUGGGACAACACUGACGCUGAGGCGGCGAAAAGCGUGGGGAGCAAACAGG
rnacentral:rRNA from 1 species